CUCCUUCGGGAGGCAGCCGUAGGGAAUUUUUCGCCAUGGGCGCAAGUCUGACGGAGCACCGCCGCGUGAGUGAAGAAGGCCUUCGGGUCGUAAAACUCUGUUUUAGGGAAGGACAAGUCCUAGUGAAUAAGCUGGCUCCUGACGUNCAGCCAAGCAGUCGGGG
rnacentral:rRNA from 1 species